rnacentral:lncRNA from 1 species
CUCGCUUUUCUUUGUUUUUCAUCUUGUUUUUCUCUUUUCUUUCAUUUUUUGCUUUUUUUUUGCUUUUUUCAAUAUUGCGGCUUUUUCCAAAUAGGGAUGGUCACAACCUUGGCCGGACUCAAAGGUAAUCAGUCUCCGACCCAUGCCCCAAGCCUCAUAAAGGUUGGAAAGAAGGCAGACGCUGAGGGUCACUACACAUGUUUAGGUUGUACCCAAACCCCACUACAAUUUUAUUAUAGCAACCUCAUUUGGACUCCUUCUACCUGUUUUACCUUCGUAUCAACCUAGAGAAAUUUCAUGGGGAUAGCUACGAACACAGUCUAAUGCAACCUAGAACAAGAGAAAAG